CCUACGGGAGGCAGCAGUGAGGAAUCUUGGUCAAUGGGCGCAAGCCUGAACCAGCCAAGUCGCGUGAAUGAUGACUGCCCUACGGGUUGUAAACUUCUUUUAUAAAGGAAUAAAGUGAUGCACGUGUGCCUUUUUGUAUGUACUUUAUGAAUAAGGAUCGGCUAACUCCGUGCCAGCAGCCGCGGUACUACGGAGGAUCCGAGCGUUAUCCGGAUUUAUUGGGUUUAAAGGGAGCGUAGGUGGUUUGUUAAGUCAGUUGUGAAAGUUUGCGGCUCAACCGUAAAAUUGCAAUUGAUACUGGCAGACUUGAGUACAGUUGAGGUAGGCGGAAUUCGUGGUGUAGCGGUGAAAUGCUUAGAUAUCAUGAAGAACACCGAUUGCGAAGGCAGCUUACUAAACUGUAACUGACAUUGAGGCUCGAAAGUGUGGGUAUCAAACAGGAUUAGAUACCCGUGUAGUC
rnacentral:rRNA from 1 species